rnacentral:rRNA from 1 species
GGGGGGGGGGGGGGGGGGGGGGGGGGGGGGCGGGGCGGGGGGGGGGGGCCGGCGGUUGGGGGGUGCUCGGGGGGCGGCCGGGUGCGGGGCGCGGGCGUAACCGGCCCGUGCCUGGGGGAGCCCGUCGGUGAACUGGGGCUCGUACCGGCUCGGCGCUCCUGCUGCCUGGUCGGUGUUGUAACGUCUCGGCGGUUGGGGAAGUCCCCGCGGGUUAUCAGCUUGUUGGUGGGGUAGUGGCUCACCACGGCUGUGACGGGUCGCCGGCCUGAGAGGGUGACCGGCCACAUUGGGACUGAGGUACGGCCCAGAGUGCUACGGGAGGCAGCAGUGGGGAAUAUUGCACAAUGGGCGGAAGCCUGAUGCAGCAACGCCGCGUGCGGGAUGACGGCCGUCGGGUUGUAAACCGCUUUCGCCUGUGACGAAGCGUGAGUGACGGUAAUGGGUAAAGAAGCACCGGCUAACUACGUG